rnacentral:rRNA from 1 species
GGUUAAGCGACUAAGCGUACACGGUGGAUGCCUAGGCAGUCAGAGGCGAUGAAGGGCGUGCUAAUCUGCGAAAAGCGUCGGUAAGGUGAUAUGAACCGUUACACCCGACGAUACCCGAAUGGGGAAACCCAGUGUGUUUCGACACAUUAUCAUCACAUGAAUACAUAGUGUGAUGAGGCGAACCGGGGGAACUGAAACAUCUCAGUACCCCGAGGAAAAGAAAUCAACCGAGAUUCCCCUAGUAGCGGCGAGCGAACGGGGAGGAGCCCAGAGUCUGCAUCAGCUUGUGUGUCAGUGGAAGCGUCUGGAAAGUCGCACAACAAAGGGUGAGAGUCCCGUACACGAAGAUGCACAGGUUGUGAGCUCGAUGAGUAGGGCGGGACACGAGAUAUCCUGUCUGAAGAUGGGGGGACCAUCCUCCAAGGCUAAAUACUCCUGACUGACCGAUAGUGAACCAGUACCGUGAGGGAAAGGCGAAAAGAACCCCGGCGAGGGGAGUGAAAUAGAACCUGAAACCGUGUACGUACAAGCAGUGGGAGCCUUGAUUAAUCAGGGUGACUGCGUACCUUUUGUAUAAUGGGUCAGCGACUUAUAUUCUGUAGCAAGGUUAACCGAAUAGGGGAGCCGCAGGGAAACCGAGUCUUAACUGAGCGUUAAGUUGCAGGGUAUAGACCCGAAACCCGGUGAUCUAGCCAUGGGCAGGUUGAAGGUUGGGUAACACUAACUGGAGGACCGAACCGACUAAUGUUGAAAAAUUAGCGGAUGACUUGUGGCUGGGGGUGAAAGGCCAAUCAAACCGGGAGAUAGCUGGUUCUCCCCGAAAGCUAUUUAGGUAGCGCCUCGUGAAUUCAUCUUCGGGGGUAGAGCACUGUUUCGACUAGGGGGUCAUCCCGACUUACCAACUCGAUGCAAACUGCGAAUACCGAAGAAUGUUAUCACGGGAGACACACGGCGGGUGCUAACGUCCGUCGUGAAGAGGGAAACAACCCAGACCGCCAGCUAAGGUCCCAAAGUCAUGGUUAAGUGGGAAACGAUGUGGGAAGGCCCAGACAGCCAGGAUGUUGGCUUAGAAGCAGCCAUCAUUUAAAGAAAGCGUAAUAGCUCACUGGUCGAGUCGGCCUGCGCGGAAGAUGUAACGGGGCUAAACCAUGCACCGAAGCUGCGGCAGCGACACUAUGUGUUGUUGGGUAGGGGAGCGUUCUGUAAGCCGUUGAAGGUGGCCUGUGAGGGCUGCUGGAGGUAUCAGAAGUGCGAAUGCUGACAUAAGUAACGAUAAUGCGGGUGAAAAACCCGCACGCCGGAAGACCAAGGGUUCCUGUCCAACGUUAAUCGGGGCAGGGUGAGUCGACCCCUAAGGCGAGGCCGAAAGGCGUAGUCGAUGGGAAACGGGUUAAUAUUCCCGUACUGGUUGUUACUGCGAAGGGGGGACGGAGAAAGCUAGGUUGGCCGGGCGACGGUUGUCCCGGUUUAAGCGUGCAGGUGGGUGUUUUUGGUAAAUCCGGAACACUGUUAACACUGAGGCGUGAUGACGAGUCACUACGGUGAUGAAGUAACCGAUGCUACGCUUCCAGGAAAAGCCUCUAAGCACCAGGUAACAAUCAAUCGUACCCCAAACCGACACAGGUGGUCAGGUAGAGAAUACUCAGGCGCUUGAGAGAACUCGGGUGAAGGAACUAGGCAAAAUGGUGCCGUAACUUCGGGAGAAGGCACGCUGGAUUUGGUGAAGUCCCUCGCGGACGGAGCUGAGACCAGUCGCAGAUACCAGCUGGCUGCAACUGUUUAAUAAAAACACAGCACUGUGCAAACACGAAAGUGGACGUAUACGGUGUGACGCCUGCCCGGUGCCGGAAGGUUAAUUGAUGGGGUAAGCCUUCGGGCGAAGCUCUUGAUCGAAGCCCCGGUAAACGGCGGCCGUAACUAUAACGGUCCUAAGGUAGCGAAAUUCCUUGUCGGGUAAGUUCCGACCUGCACGAAUGGCGUAAUGAUGGCCAGGCUGUCUCCACCCGAGACUCAGUGAAAUUGAACUCGCUGUGAAGAUGCAGUGUACCCGCGGCAAGACGGAAAGACCCCGUGAACCUUUACUAUAGCUUGACACUGAACCUUGAGCCUUGAUGUGUAGGAUAGGUGGGAGGCUUUGAAGCGUGGACGCCAGUCUGCGUGGAGCCAACCUUGAAAUACCACCCUUUAAUGUUUGAUGUUCUAACGUGGGCCCCUGAGCGGGGUUGCGGACAGUGUCUGGUGGGUAGUUUGACUGGGGCGGUCUCCUCCCAAAGAGUAACGGAGGAGCACGAAGGUUAGCUAAUCCUGGUCGGACAUCAGGAGGUUAGUGCAAAGGCAUAAGCUAGCUUGACUGCGAGAGUGACGGCUCGAGCAGGUGCGAAAGCAGGUCUUAGUGAUCCGGUGGUUCUGAAUGGAAGGGCCAUCGCUCAACGGAUAAAAGGUACUCCGGGGAUAACAGGCUGAUACCGCCCAAGAGUUCAUAUCGACGGCGGUGUUUGGCACCUCGAUGUCGGCUCAUCACAUCCUGGGGCUGAAGUAGGUCCCAAGGGUAUGGCUGUUCGCCAUUUAAAGUGGUACGCGAGCUGGGUUUAGAACGUCGUGAGACAGUUCGGUCCCUAUCUGCCGUGGGCGUUGGAAGAUUGAGAGGGGUUGCUCCUAGUACGAGAGGACCGGAGUGAACGCACCACUGGUGUACGGGUUGUGAUGCCAAUUGCAUUGCCCGGUAGCUAAGUGCGGAAGAGAUAACCGCUGAAAGCAUCUAAGCGGGAAACUUGCCUCGAGAUGAGUCUUCCCUGGGACUUUGAGUCCCCUGAAGGGCCGUUGAAGACGACGACGUAGAUAGGCCGGGUGUGUAAGCGCAGCGAUGCGUUGAGCUAACCGGUACUAAUGACCCGAGAGGCUUAACCUUACAACACCGAAGGUGUUUUA